rnacentral:misc_RNA from 1 species
UCUCCGUUGGUGAACCAGCGGAGGGAUCAUUACAGGACUCGCAAGACUCCUACAACCCUGUGAACUUAACUAUAAGCACGUUGCUUCGGCGGGAGUCUCGGAGGGGGUUCUCCCUCCCCGAGACGCUAAACCCGCCGGCAGCCUACUAUACUCUGUCUCUUUGCGUUGGCAUCUCGAGUACAAUCAAACAAGUUAAAACUUUCAACAGCGGAUCUCUUGGUUCUG